rnacentral:rRNA from 1 species
UACGUAGGGUGCGAGCGUUGUCCGGAAUUAUUGGGCGUAAAGAGCUUGUAGGCGGUUUGUCGCGUCUGCUGUGAAAAUCCGGGGCUCAACCCCGGACUUGCAGUGGGUACGGGCAGACUAGAGUGUGGUAGGGGAGACUGGAAUUCCUGGUGUAGCGGUGGAAUGCGCAGAUAUCAGGAGGAACACCGAUGGCGAAGGCAGGUCUCUGGGCCAUUACUGACACUGAGGCACGAAAGCUGGGGGAGCAAACAGG